rnacentral:tRNA from 2 species
CAAAUUAGAACUUGAAGUAAGUAUUAUUAUUUACAUUAAUAAUUUAGUUGUGCAAUUCGACUUAAUUUGA